rnacentral:rRNA from 1 species
AACGUAGGAGGCAAGCGUUAUCCGGAUUCAUUGGGCGUAAAGCGCGUGCAGGCGGUCUGACAAGUUGGAUGUGAAAGCUCCCGGCUCAACUGGGAGAGGUCGUUCAAAACUGUUAGACUAGAGAAUAGGAGAGGGAGGUGGAAUUCCGGGUGUAGUGGUGAAAUGCGUAGAUAUCCGGAGGAACACCAGUGGCGAAAGCGGCCUCCUGGACUAUUUCUGACGCUAAGACGCGAAAGCUAGGGUAGCAAAC